CCUCCGGGCGGCAGCAGUGGGGAAUAUUGGACAAUGGGCGAAAGCCUGAUCCAGCCAUGCCGCGUGUGUGAAGAAGGUCUUCGGAUUGUACAGCACUUUAAGUUGGGAGGAAGGGUUGUAGAUUAAUACUCUGCAAUUUUGACGUUACCGACAGAAUAAGCACCGGCUAACUCUGUGCCAGCAGCCGCGGUAAUACAGAGGGUGCAAGCGUUAAUCGGAAUUACUGGGCGUAAAGCGCGCGUAGGUGGUUUGUUAAGUUGGAUGUGAAAUCCCCGGGCUCAACCUGGGAACUGCAUUCAAAACUGACUGACUAGAGUAUGGUAGAGGGUGGUGGAAUUUCCUGUGUAGCGGUGAAAUGCGUAGAUAUAGGAAGGAACACCAGUGGCGAAGGCGACCACCUGGACUAAUACUGACACUGAGGUGCGAAAGCGUGGGGAGCAAACAGGAUUAGAUACCCGAGUAGUC
rnacentral:rRNA from 1 species